GUUCUGUUGUUGAGGAAGAACACACAGUCUAGGAAAUGAUUCUGUGCUGACGGUACUCAACCAGAAAGCUCCGGCUAACUACGUGCCAGCAGCCGCGGUAAUACGUAGGGAGCGAGCGUUAUCCGGAAUUAUUGGGCGUAAAGCGUGCGUAGGCGUUUUGUUAAGUCAAAUCUGAAAGCCCCCAGCUUAACUGGGGAGAGUGAUUUGAAACUGGCAGAAUUGAGUACGGCAGAGGUUAGUGGAAUUCAAUGUGUAGCGGUGGAAUGCGUAGAUAUAUUGAGGAACACCAGUGGCGAAGGCGGCUAACUGGACCGGAACUGACGCUGAGGCACGAAAGCGUGGGGAGCAAACAGGAUUAGAUACCCUGGUAGUCCACGCCGUAAACGAUGAGAACUAAGUGUUGGGGUUACCCAGUGCUGAAGCUAACGCAUUAAGUUCUCCGCCUGGGGAGUACGACCGCAAGGUUGAAACUCAAAGGAAUUGACGGGUCUCCGCACAAGCGGUGGAGCAUGUUGUUUAAUUCGAAGAUACGCGAAGAACCUUACCAGGUCUUGACAUCUUCUUGAUCGCUGUAGAGAUACAGUUUCCCUUCGGGGCAAGAAUGACAGGUGGUGCAUGGUUGUCGUCAGCUCGUGUCGUGAGAUGUUGGGUUAAGUCCCGCAACGAGCGCAACCCCUAUUAAUAGUUGCUAACAUUAAGUUGAGGACUCUAUUGAGACUGCCAGUGAUAAACUGGAGGAAGGUGGGGAUGACGUCAAAUCAUCAUGCCCCUUAUGACCUGGGCUACAAACGU
rnacentral:rRNA from 1 species